rnacentral:rRNA from 1 species
AGAGUUUGAUUAUGGCUCAGGCUUUUAAAUGGCGGCGUGCCUAACACAUGCAAGUCGAACGGACCUUUCCCGUCGAUGCGAUUUCGGUCAAGUCAAAGGAUGUUUUAGUGGCGGACGGGUGAGUAACGCGUGGGCAACCUGCCUUACACCGGGGGAUAACACUUAGAAAUAGGUGCUAAUACCGCAUAACAGGAGAACAUGCAUGUGUUUUCCUUGAAAACCACGGUGGUGUAAGAUGGACCCGCGUCUGAUUAGCUUGUUGGCAGGGUAACGGCCUACCAAGGCGACGAUCAGUAGCCGGCCUGAGAGGGUGGACGGCCACAUUGGGACUGAGACACGGCCCAGACUCCUACGGGAGGCAGCAGUGGGGAAUAUUGCACAAUGGGGGAAACCCUGAUGCAGCGACGCCGCGUGAGUGAAGAAGUAUUUCGGUAUGUAAAGCUCUGUCAGCAGGGAAGAAAAUGACGGUACCUGACCAAGAAGCCCCGGCUAACUACGUGCCAGCAGCCGCGGUAAUACGUAGGGGGCAAGCGCUAUCCGGAUUUACUGGGUGUAAAGGGAGCGCACACGGCAGUGCAAGUCCGGAGUGAAAGCCCGGGGCCCAACCCCGGGACUGUUCUGGAAACUGUACGGCUGGAGUGCCGGAGAGGUAAGCGGAAUUCCUAGCGUAGCGGUGAAAUGCGUAUAUAUUAGGAGGAACACCCAGUGGCGAAGGCGGCUUACUGGACGGUAACUGACGUUGAAGGUCCGAAAGCGUGGGGAAGAAACAGGAUUAAAUACCCUGGUAGUCCCC